rnacentral:rRNA from 1 species
GACGAACGCUGGCGGCGUGCUUAACACAUGCAAGUCGAACGCUGAAGCACCAGCUUGCUGGUGUGGAUGAGUGGCGAACGGGUGAGUAAUACGUGAGUAACCUGCCCUUGACUCUGGGAUAAGCCCGGGAAACUGGGUCUAAUACUGGAUGCUACAUGUCACCGCAUGGUGGUGUGUGGAAAGGGUUUACUGGUCUUGGAUGGGCUCACGGCCUAUCAGCUUGUUGGUGAGGUAAUGGCUCACCAAGGCGACGACGGGUAGCCGGCCUGAGAGGGUGACCGGCAACACUGGGACUGAGACACGGCCCAGACUCCUACGGGAGGGAGAAGUGGGGAAGAUUGAACAAGGGGCGAAAGCCUGAUGCAGCGACGCCGCGGGAGGGAGGACGGCCUUCGGGUUGGAAACCUCUUUCAGCAGGGAAGAAGCCACAAGUGACGGUACCUGCAGAAGAAGCGCCGGCUAACUACGUG